rnacentral:ncRNA from 13 species
GUCACGAUAGCUCAAGUGGUAGAGCAGCGGCGGAUCAAGCCGUAAGUCGUGGGUUCGAAUCCCACUCGUGACA